rnacentral:lncRNA from 1 species
CCCGUACAUAUUUUAAUGCCAUGCCUGGGUAUAAACCAAAAUAUGGGUUCAUAUGCACAAGAUUCUAUGGUGAUCUCAGGUCUAAGGAUCACUUGCAUAACUUCUACUUAGAGAACCAUCUUUGACAUGCAAGUAAGGCUUCCAUAAGAUGUUCUCUUUCAUUGAGUCAAUUCAGUGGACUCAUUUUUCAAAUCAGCACCCACAUCCUUGUAUUAGUAUCCCACACAAGUGGCUAGUGAGAUCUGCCAUCCUCUU